CUAUACGUUUCGCUAAAUUUGACAAUUCUUCUCUAAUCCAAAUAUCCAAUACUAGAUUUUAUUUUUUUUCUUAAAAAAACUGUUAACUCCUGUGUCUUGUCAAUUGGGACUUGGGAGGAACCCUAAACCUUAAUUACACACUUCCAAGUUCCAGAUUCUUAGUAGCACAGAACUAAUUCCAGGACAAAAAUGGCUGGAUCAGAAGCAGCGGUGCCCAGUACAGGAGGAGGUGAAGUAUCCCUCAAAGAUCAAGGCAAUGAAUACUUCAAAGCUGGUAAUUUCCUCAAAGCCGCUGCCAUAUAUACUCAAGCCAUCAAGCAAGACCCUAAAAACGCCACUCUUUAUAGCAACCGUGCUGCAGCUUUUCUUAACCUUGUCAAACUCACCAAAGCACUGGCUGAUGCUGAGAUGACAAUCAGUCUUCGUCCGGACUGGGAGAAGGGUUACUUUAGAAAAGCAUGCAUCUUGGAAGCCAUGGAGAGAUAUGAUCAGGCCUUGGAUGCAUUUCAAGUAGCAUUACAUUAUAAUCCACACAGUACAGAGGUAUCAAAGAAAAUCAAGAAACUUUCGCAGUUAGCCAGAGAUAAAAAGCGAGCUGAAGAAGUCGAAAGUAUGAGAUCUAAUGUUAAUGUGGCUAAACACUUGAGUACAGUGACUUCUGAAAUGGCUGAAAAGUAUGGAGGUGAAGAAUCAUCUAGAGUUCUGUUUUCAUUUCUUGUUGAAACAAUGGAGAAUGCUGUCAAAACAUGGCAUGAAACCUCAAAAGUGGAUCCAAGAGUCUACUUUCUUCUGGACAAUGAGAAGACGGAUACAGAGAAAUAUGCUCCUGUUGUAAACAUUGAUAAGGCAUUUGAAUCACCUCAUACACACAGCAAUUGCUUCUCAUUUCUGAGGCAGUAUGUCGAGGAUUCGUUUGCUAGAGCUGCUUGCUUAAUCACGCCCAAAAGUCUCAUAUCUUAUCCUCAGGUAUGUGAUGCAUAUGCAGGUCUGGAAAGGCCAAGGAUUUAGGAAAUGGAAACAUGGGCAGAAUGAUGGAUUCUUUGUCCAAUUUGAGUCUCCUUAUGUACGAAAGCUAUGGUUUAUCCCUUGCAACAGUGAGAAAGGAAUGGCCUUGUGCAGGGAUCCCGAGGCUUUGGACAUUGGUGCCCAUGAACUGCUUCCACGCCUAUUUAAAUAAUCUUCAGCAACUCGUGACAGCUCUAUUGUCUUGGCUUGAUAAUCUCUGGUGAGAUUGUUGUGGAUGCAACUGUCAGCCUUCUCACGUUCUAGAUUCAGAUGACUGCAAAAACUGCUCAAGUGUCGUAAUAUCAUGUCAGGUGUCUGUUUUGUCAUGCCAGUUGUGUACGAUUUUGCUAAUAGCUCGAUCGACAAGAGUUUCACUUUGAGUGAUUGCUUGAUCUUUACUAUCUUUGGUGGAUCUCCCCCAACUUAAGAUACUUUUUAGGUGCACAUCUAAGUGGGUAAGCUGAGGAUACAGUUCAGGUCCCCAUAUGAUCGGUGUUUUUAAGGUUGUGGCGAAAUGGGUUUCAGAGCUGAUGAUAUUUCUUGUUACUUGUAUUAUUUUUGCGGGGACUUUGUUGCAAAACUUCCUGUACAUUUUUAGUGUCACAUUAGAAUUUAUAUGCUUGAUGACAAGCAAUUACUUUUUGUCACAGGUCUUAAGCGGAGGAGUUUUAGUUGUCAAAAGUUUUGUUUGCUGUGUUUGACCAAUUAGAUAUCUUACGAUGGUAUUGGAUUGAAGAUCGGAAGGCCUUACGUUUUUGUUUUAAUUCCCUAUAAUAAACAGUUUCCUGCAUAUUCUGCUAGAA